rnacentral:pre_miRNA from 1 species
UGUGCACUGGUGGGGUCCCUCAGCCUGGCCUGUGGGGAUCGGGCUGAAACCGGGCCUCCCACAUCCCCCAAGGGGUUCCGGACUGCGAGAGGGCACAGGCCAGGCUGAGGGACUCCACUGGUGCACA